rnacentral:tRNA from 1 species
AUGGUAUAUUUUAAUAAAAAUAUCACCCUGCAAAGGUGAAGUUACUUUUUACCGGGUUACCAUUUU